AACGAACGCUGGCGGCAUGCCUAACACAUGCAAGUCGAACGAGACCUUCGGGUCUAGUGGCGCACGGGUGCGUAACGCGUGGGAACCUGCCCUUAGGUUCGGAAUAACUCCCCGAAAGGGGUGCUAAUACCGGAUAUUGUCUUCGGACCAAAGAUUUAUCGCCUUUGGAUGGGCCCGCGUUGUAUUAGCUAGUUGGUAGGGUAAAAGCCUACCAAGGCGACGAUCCAUAGCUGGUUUGAGAGGAUGAUCAGCCACACUGGGACUGAGACACGGCCCAGAAUCCUGCGGGAGGCAGCAGUGGGGAAUAUUGGACAAUGGGCGAAAGCCUGAUCCAGCAAUGCCGCGUGAGUGAUGAAGGCCUUAGGGUUGUAAAGCUCUUUUACCCGGGAUGAUAAUGACAGUACCGGGAGAAUAAGCUCCGGCUAACUCCGUG
rnacentral:rRNA from 1 species